AUUAAAACACUGGUUAUCAUACGAUCACCGAAGUUAAGCAAUGUUGAACCUCGCCAGUACCUAGAUGGGUGACCAUUUGGGAAUACUGGGUGCUGUAAG